UACAGAGGUCUCAAGCGUUGUUCGGAUUCAUUGGGCGUAAAGGGUGCGUAGGCGGCGCGGUAAGUCGGGUGUGAAAUCUCGGGGCUUAACUCCGAAACUGCAUUCGAUACUGCCGUGCUUGAGGACUGGAGAGGAGACUGGAAUUUACGGUGUAGCGGUGAAAUGCGUAGAUAUCGUAAGGAAGACCAGUGGCGAAGGCGGGUCUCUGGACAGUUCCUGACGCUGAGACGCGAAAGCGUGGGGAG
rnacentral:rRNA from 1 species